AUGUGUGUUCCAAAAGACCUAGGUGGAAUGGGUUUCCAUGAUAUACACUGUUUUAACCUGGCUUUGCUAGCGAAACAAGCUUGGCGCCUCUUGGAAAAUCCUGAAUCCUUAUGUGCAACAAUCCUAAGAGCAAAGUAUUUCCCGGAGGGCGAUUUGAUGAGCGCGGUAUUAAAAAAGGGCUCCUCUUUUACGUGGCAAAGCAUUAUGGCGGGAGUGGUUUCACUCAGGAAUGGCUAUAUAUGGAGAGUCGGAACAGGAGAAAAUAUUGACAUAUGGAGAGAUGCAUGGAUCCCAAAUUGUGCAGAUAGGAAAAUUAUUACACCAAGAAGGGGGAAUCUCCUAACGAAAGUUUCUGAGCUUAUUGACCCAAUCACGAAUUGUUGGGAUGAAGAUUUGGUGAGACAAACUUUGUGGCCAAUUGAUGCCUAUAGAGUCCUAGCGAUCCCGAUCCCUAUGCAUAAUAUGUCGGACUUUAUUGCUUGGAGCUAA
rnacentral:rRNA from 1 species